UACAGAGGGUGCAAGCGUUGUUCGGAAUCAUUGGGCGUAAAGCGCGCGUAGGCGGUUACUUAAGUUGGAUGUGAAAGCCCUCGGCUUAACCGAGGAAGUGCAUCCAAAACUGAGUAGCUAGAGUACGAAAGAGGGUCGCGGAAUUCCUGGUGUAGCGGUGAAAUGCGCAGAUAUCAGGAAGAACACCAAUGGCGAAAAGCAGCUCUCUGGGACGGUACUGACGCUGAGACGCGAAAGCGUGGG
rnacentral:rRNA from 1 species